rnacentral:rRNA from 1 species
GACAGAGGGUGCAAACGUUGCUCGGAAUUACUGGGCGUAAAGCGCGUGUAGGCGGGAAGAUAAGUCGGGUGUGAAAUCCCUGGGCUCAACCUAGGAACUGCAUCCGAAACUGCCUUUCUGGAGUGAUGGAGAGGAAAGCGGAAUUCCCGGUGUAGAGGUGAAAUUCGUAGAUAUCGGGAGGAACACCAGUGGCGAAGGCGGCUUACUAAGGCGAUACUGACGCUGAGGCACGAAAGCGUGGGGAUCGAACAGG